rnacentral:rRNA from 1 species
GACGAACGCUGGCGGCGUGCUUAACACAUGCAAGUCGAACGGUGAAGCUCCAGCUUGCUGGAGUGGAUCAGUAGCGAACGGGUGAGUAACACGUGAGCAACCUGCCCCAGACUCUGGAAUAAGCGCUGGAAACGGCGUCUAAUACUGGAUACGAGAUCAAGCCGCAUGGUUAUGGUCUGGAAAGUUUUUCGGUUUGGGAUGGGCUCGCGGCCUAUCAGCUUGUUGGUGAGGUAAUGGCUCACCAAGGCGACGACGGGUAGCCGGCCUGAGAGGGCGACCGGCCACACUGGGACUGAGACACGGCCCAGACUCCUACGGGAGGCAGCAGUGGGGAAUAUUGCACAAUGGGCGAAAGCCUGAUGCAGCGACGCCGCGUGAGGGAUGACGGCCUUCGGGUUGUAAACCUCUUUCAGCAGGGAAGAAGCGAAAGUGACGGUACCUGCAGAAGAAGCACCGGCUAACUACGUG